UCCCCUGAAUAUUUAGCUCAGCUGGAAGAGCAUGAGACUCUUAAUCUUAGGGUCUUGGCUUCAGGUCCCACACUGGGCAA
rnacentral:tRNA from 1 species